ACUCAAAGGAAUUGACGGGGGCCCGCACAAGCGGUGGAACAUGUGGUUUAAUUCGAUGCAACGCGAAGAACCUUACCUGGGCUUGACAUCUACAGAAUCCUCAUGAAAGUGGGGAGUGCCUUCGGGAGCUGUAAGACAGGUGGUGCACGGUUGUCGUCAGCUCGUGUCGUGAGAUGUUGGGUUAAGUCCCGCAACGAGCGCAACCCUCGUGGUCUGUUGUUACAGGUCGAAAGAUGCUGAACCCUCAGGCCAGACUGCCGGUGACAAACCGGAGGAAGGUGGGGAUGACGUCAAAUCAUCACGCCCCUUAUGUCCAGGGCUACACACGUGUUACAAUGGGUAGGAGACAAUGGGUAGCUUGGCAGCGAUGUCUGGCAAAUCCUUAAACUCCCCCUCAGUUCGGAUCGAAGUCUGCAACUCGACUUCGUGAAGCAGGAAUCGCUAGUAAACGCAGAUCAGCACGCUGCGUUGAAUACGUUCCCGGGCCUUGCACACACCGCCCGU
rnacentral:rRNA from 1 species